AGAGUUUGAUCAUGGCUCAGGAUGAACGCUAGCGGCGGGCCUAAUACAUGCAAGUCGAACGAUACCAGAGAGCUUGCUUUCUGGGAAAGUGGCGCACGGGUGCGUAACGCGUAUGCAACCUACCUUAAUCAGGGGGAUAGCCUCUCGAAAGAGAGAUUAACACCGCAUAACAUCAUUUUACGGCAUCGUAGAAUGAUCAAAUAUUUAUAGGAUUAAGAUGGGCAUGCGUGACAUUAGUUUGUUGGUGAGGUAACGGCUCACCAAGACUACGAUGUCUAGGGGAUCUGAGAGGAUGACCCCCCACACUGGUACUGAGACACGGACCAGACUCCUACGGGAGGCAGCAGUAAGGAAUAUUGGUCAAUGGGGGCAACCCUGAACCAGCCAUGCCGCGUGCAGGAAGACGGCCCUACGGGUUGUAAACUGCUUUUAUACGGGAAUAAACCUCACUACGUGUAGUGAGCUGAAUGUACUGUAAGAAUAAGGAUCGGCUAACUCCGUGCCAGCAGCCGCGGUAAUACGGAGGAUCCAAGCGUUAUCCGGAUUUAUUGGGUUUAAAGGGUGCGUAGGCGGCCUAUUAAGUCAGGGGUGAAAGACGGUGGCUCAACCAUCGCAGUGCCCUUGAUACUGAUGGGCUUGAUUACACUUGAGGUAGGCGGAAUGUGACAAGUAGCGGUGAAAUGCAUAGAUAUGUCACAGAACACCAAUUGCGAAGGCAGCUUACUAAGGUGUUAAUGACGCUGAGGCACGAAAGCGUGGGGAUCAAACAGGAUUAGAUACCCUGGUAGUCCACGCCCUAAACGAUGAAUACUCGAUGUUAGCGAUAUACAGUUAGCGUCAAAGCGAAAGCGUUAAGUAUUCCACCUGGGGAGUACGCCCGCAAGGGUGAAACUCAAAGGAAUUGACGGGGGCCCGCACAAGCGGAGGAGCAUGUGGUUUAAUUCGAUGAUACGCGAGGAACCUUACCCGGGCUUGAAAGUUACUGAAGUAUCCAGAGAUGGAUGCGUCCGC
rnacentral:rRNA from 1 species